UAUGAAAAGUAUUUUUGGUGUUUUAGUCUCUGCACUGCACAGUAUCUCUCAUAAACGUAUGCUCUUGGUUUCUGUAUAUUACACUGCUUU